CCCUUAGAUGUUCUGGGCCGCACGCGCGCUACACUGACGAUGGCAACGAGUUUUUCCUUCGCCGAAAGGUGUGGGUAAUCUUUUGAAACAUCGUCGUGCUGGGGAUAGAUCAUUGCAAUUUUUGAUCUUGAACGAGGAAUUCCUAGUAAGCGCGAGUCAUCAGCUCGCGUUGAUUACGUCCCUGCCCUUUGUACACACCGCCCGUCGCUACUACCGAUUGAAUGGUUUAGUGAGGACUCCUGAUUGGCGCCGCCGCCCCGGCAACGGAGCAGCGGACUGCCGAAGAGUUGUUCAAACUUGAUCAUUUAGAGGAAGUAAAAGUCGUAACA
rnacentral:rRNA from 1 species